GGUAGCCGGCCUGAGAGGGCGACCGGCCACACUGGGACUGAGACACGGCCCAGACUCCUACGGGAGGCAGCAGUGGGGAAUAUUGCACAAUGGGCGGAAGCCUGAUGCAGCGACGCCGCGUGAGGGAUGACGGCCUUCGGGUUGUAAACCUCUUUCAGCAGGGACGAAGCGCAAGUGACGGUACCUGCAGAAGAAGCGCCGGCCAACUACGUGCCAGCAGCCGCGGUAAGACGUAGGGCGCGAGCGUUGUCCGGAUUUAUUGGGCGUAAAGAGCUCGUAGGCGGCUUGUCGCGUCGACUGUGAAAACCCACAGCUCAACUGUGGGCUUGCAGGCGAUACGGGCAGGCUAGAGUUCGGUAGGGGAGACUGGAAUUCCUGGUGUAGCGGUGAAAUGCGCAGAUAUCAGGAGGAACACCGGUGGCGAAGGCGGGUCUCUGGGCCGAUACUGACGCUGAGGAGCGAAAGCGUGGGGAGCGAACAGGAUUAGAUACCCUGGUAGUCCACGCUGUAAACGUUGGGCGCUAGGUGUGGGGGACCUCUCCGGUUCUCUGUGCCGCAGCUAACGCAUUAAGCGCCCCGCCUGGGGAGUACGGA
rnacentral:rRNA from 1 species